rnacentral:rRNA from 1 species
UGGAGAGUUUGAUCCUGGCUCAGGACGAACGCUGGCGGCGUGCCUAAUACAUGCAAGUCGAGCGGACCGACGGGAGCUUGCUCCCUUAGGUCAGCGGCGGACGGGUGAGUAACACGUGGGUAACCUGCCUGUAAGACUGGGAUAACUCCGGGAAACCGGGGCUAAUACCGGAUGCUUGAUUGAACCGCAUGGUUUAAUUAUAAAAGGUGGCUUUUAGCUACCACUUACAGAUGGACCCGCGGCGCAUUAGCUAGUUGGUGAGGUAACGGCUCACCAAGGCAACGAUGCGUAGCCGACCUGAGAGGGUGAUCGGCCACACUGGGACUGAGACACGGCCCAGACUCCUACGGGAGGCAGCAGUAGGGAAUCUUCCGCAAUGGACGAAAGUCUGACGGAGCAACGCCGCGUGAGUGAUGAAGGUUUUCGGAUCGUAAAACUCUGUUGUUAGGGAAGAACAAGUACCGUUCGAAUAGGGCGGUACCUUGACGGUACCUAACCAGAAAGCCACGGCUAACUACGUGCCAGCAGCCGCGGUAAUACGUAGGUGGCAAGCGUUGUCCGGAAUUAUUGGGCGUAAAGCGCGCGCAGGCGGUUUCUUAAGUCUGAUGUGAAAGCCCCCGGCUCAACCGGGGAGGGUCAUUGGAAACUGGGGAACUUGAGUGCAGAAGAGGAGAGUGGAAUUCCACGUGUAGCGGUGAAAUGCGUAGAGAUGUGGAGGAACACCAGUGGCGAAGGCGACUCUCUGGUCUGUA